rnacentral:Y_RNA from 1 species
GGCUGGUCCGAUGGUAGCGGGUUAUCAGAACUUAUUAACAUUAGUGUCACUAAAGUUGGUAUUCAACCCCCCACUGCUAAAUUUGACUGGCUUUUA